GUGAUACUUGCCGUCCCUCCAACGGCACAUCACGCGAGUACCCACCUCUAGCGGUAGCAUACUCACCCUUCUCUUCUUCAAGGAGUCAGAUUCCAUCUGCGUCAUUUCUGCGGCCGGAGGAGGCAUUCCAUCGACAACAGAAUGAGGUUUCUGGUAGCCGUCCACGGCGGCAGGGGCCAGAUUUGCGGAGCCGUUCUCCGGAUUUGUUGGUGUCUCG
rnacentral:misc_RNA from 1 species